UACGUAGGGUCCGAGCGUUGUCCGGAAUUAUUGGGCGUAAAGAGCUCGUAGGCGGCUCGUUAAGUCGGAAGUGAAAUCUCAAGGCUCAACCUUGAAAUCGCUUUCGAUACUGGCGGACUUGAGGCAGGUAGGGGAAGGUGGAAUUCCUGGUGUAGCGGUGAAAUGCGCAGAUAUCAGGAGGAACACCGGUGGCGAAGGCGGCCUUCUGGGCCUGUUCUGACGCUGAGGAGCGAAAGCGUGGGGAGCAACAGG
rnacentral:rRNA from 1 species